GGACAUAUCACAUUGAAAUACAGGUUCUCAUACAAUCAUCAAAGUUAAGCAAUAUUGAGCCUGGUCAAUACCUAGAUGGGUGACCAAUUGGGAAUACCAGGUGUUGUAAG